rnacentral:rRNA from 15 species
ACAAACCGGAGGAAGGUGGGGAUGACGUCAAGUCCUCAUGGCCCUUAUGGGCUGGGCUACACACGUGCUACAAUGGCGGUGACAACGGGCAGCAAGGCCGCAAGGCCAAGCCAAUCCCGAAAAGCCGUCUCAGUUCGGAUUGUUCUCUGCAACUCGAGAGCAUGAAGGCGGAAUCGCUAGUAAUCGCGGAUCAGCAUGCCGCGGUGAAUACGUUCCCGGGCCUUGUACACACCGCCCGUCACACCAUGGGAGUUGGCUUUACCCGAAGGCGG